AUUGAACGCUGGCGGCAGGCCUAACACAUGCAAGUCGAGCGGUAGAGAGAAGCUUGCUUCUCUUGAGAGCGGCGGACGGGUGAGUAAUGCCUAGGAAUCUGCCUAGUGGUGGGGGAUAACGUUCGGAAACGGACGCUAAUACCGCAUACGUCCUACGGGAGAAAGCGGGGGACCUUCGGGCCUCGCGCCAUUAGAUGAGCCUAGGUCGGAUUAGCUAGUUGGUGAGGUAAUGGCUCACCAAGGCUACGAUCCGUAACUGGUCUGAGAGGAUGAUCAGUCACACUGGAACUGAGACACGGUCCAGACUCCUACGGGAGGCAGCAGUGGGGAAUAUUGGACAAUGGGCGAAAGCCUGAUCCAGCCAUGCCGCGUGUGUGAAGAAGGUCUUCGGAUUGUAAAGCACUUUAAGUUGGGAGGAAGGGUAGUAACUUACAUACGUUGCUACUUUGACGUACCGA
rnacentral:rRNA from 1 species